rnacentral:rRNA from 2 species
UCCGUAGGGGUGACCUGCGGAAGGAUCAUUA